rnacentral:rRNA from 1 species
AGUUUGAUCCUGGCUCAGAGUGAACGCUGGCGGUAGGCCUAACACAUGCAAGUCGAACGGUAGCACAGAGGAGCUUGCUCCUUGGGUGACGAGUGGCGGACGGGUGAGGAAUGCAUCGGAAUCUACUCUUUCGUGGGGGAUAACGUAGGGAAACUUACGCUAAUACCGCAUACGACCUACGGGUGAAAGCAGGGGACCUUUUAGGCCUUGCGCGAUUGAAUGAGCCGAUGUCCGAUUAGCUAGUUGGCGGGGUAAUGGCCCACCAAGGCGACGAUCGGUAGCUGGUCUGAGAGGAUGAUCAGCCACACUGGAACUGAGACACGGUCCAGACUCCUACGGGAGGCAGCAGCGGGGAAUAUUGGACAAUGGGCGCAAGCCUGAUCCAGCCAUACCGCGUGGGUGAAGAAGGCCUUCGGGUUGUAAAGCCCUUUUGUUGGGAAAGAAAAGCAGCCGGCUAAUACCCGGUUGUUCUGACGGUACCCAAAGAAUAAGUACCGGCUAACUUCGUGCCAGCAGCCGCGGUAAUACGAAGGGUGCAAGCGUUACUCGGAAUUACUGGGCGUAAAGCGUGCGUAGGUGGUUGUUUAAGUCUGUCGUGAAAGCCCUGGGCUCAACCUGGGAACUGCGAUGGAAACUGGGCGACUAGAGUGUGGUAGAGGGUAGCGGAAUUCCUGGUGUAGCAGUGAAAUGCGUAGAUAUCAGGAGGAACAUCCAUGGCGAAGGCAGCUACCUGGGCCAACACUGACACUGAGGCACGAAAGCGUGGGGAGCAAACAGGAUUAGAUACCCUGGUAGUCCACGCCCUAAACGAUGUGUGCUAGUUGUCGGGCCCUUUAGGGUUCGGUGACGCAGCUAACGCUUUAAGCACACCGCCUGGGGAGUACGGUCGCAAGAUUAAAACUCAAAGGAAUUGACGGGGACCCGCACAAGCGGUGGAGCAUGUUGUUUAAUUCGAAGCAACGCGAAGAACCUUACCUACACUUGACAUGCCCUUUAGGACUUUCAGAGAUGAUUGUUUUCAGUUCGGCUGGGAGGAGCACAGGUGCUGCAUGGCUGUCGUCAGCUCGUGUCGUGAGAUGUUGGGUUAAGUCCCGCAACGAGCGCAACCCUUGCCAUUAGUUGCUACAUUUAGUUGAGCACUCUAAUGGGACUGCCGGUGACAAACCGGAGGAAGGUGGGGAUGACGUCAAGUCCUCAUGGCCCUUAUGGGUGGGGCUACACACGUCAUACAAUGGCUGGUACAAAGGGUUGCCAACCCGCGAGGGGGAGCUAAUCCCAUAAAGCCAGUCGUAGUCCGGAUCGCAGUCUGCAACUCGACUGCGUGAAGUCGGAAUCGCUAGUAAUCGUGGAUCAGAAUGUCACGGUGAAUACGUUCCCGGGUCUUGUACACACCGCCCGUCACACCAUGGGAGCGGGUCUCGCCAGAAGUAGGUAGCCUAACCGCAAGGAGGGCGCUUACCACGGCGGGGUUCGUGACUGGGGUGAAGUCGUAACAAGGUAACC